rnacentral:lncRNA from 1 species
AGGGGGCGGGGAGAGCGCGGGAGGGGCGGGGAAGGGGAGGCGGUCAGCUCGGUCCCCGCCCGCCGUCCCGCAGGAAGUGCGACCCCGGCCCUCUGCGGCGGUCGGGCGAGCGUCCAAGCUCGUCUCCCGGAGGCCGGCCUCUUGGGGUCUGCGCGCACACCCCGGAGCUAAUGUUUAACGGAAAUCAGAGGUGGAAACAGACGUUGGAGGGCCCUGUUCUAUCUAUUCCAGCCGCGUUUACUGCUGCGCCCAGGGGCAGCCACGCUUGGGACUCGGGCGGGGGCUUUAGGGACACGCACGUGAGUUGGGAUUUUCUGGCCUCUCAAACCCGAGAUAGAAAGAACGACGAAGCAAGAAUGGCAUAAAAGCUUAUGAGGCUCCUUGAGCACAGAGAACAUCGGGCGGGGAAACCUACAAGGGAAUUCGAGGAGGCAUUGUGGAUUUCAUCAGAGGCACGCUGAGAUCCCUAUGCCUUCUUGCUUCUGCAGUUCACCGGGUUUAUGUAAGGUAGAACCUCAGGAGAGAGAGCAUCAGUAAAUAGAAAGCGAGUGCUACACUUGAUCUAUGACUCUUAAAGGCACACCUUGACCGAACUGCCGUUUGAAAGCAUCGUGAGGUUCCCUGUCGGUUUUCAUGCUUCUGUGCUUCCUUUCCAGGCUUUUGGCUGGGCUGGACUCUGACCUUCGUUAGCCGGAUGGAUAGUCAAGGCGUUACUUGGCUAUUUGAAGAUGGAAGUUCACCUUCUUUCUCCACUUUACCUGGCUUCACCGCUUCUGUGUUCAGGGCCAAGUCAGUAGAGGUCAUCAGCCCAUGUUAGAAGAGAUUGGAUACUACAGUAACAGGGAGGGGUGCCCUUAUAAGGGACCGCAUUUCCUGAUCUAUUUCCCAAACCCUUUAGGUCUAUCCAGUUUCACCUGACUAAUCUUUUUUUUUUUUUGGCUCCCCUGGGUCUUAGUUGCANNNNNNNNNNNNNNNNNNNNNNNNNNNNNNNNNNNNNNNNNNNNNNNNNNNNNNNNNNNNNNNNNNNNNNNNNNNNNNNNNNNNNNNNNNNNNNNNNNNGCAGUGGGUGGGGACCACCAGGGAAGUCCCAUCACCUGACUAGUCUUGAAGCUGGGAUUCACUGUGGUCUCCAUCACGUUUUUGUUUUUGUUUUUUUCAAACAAACAAAUGAUACUUUAGCAGGAGGAGAAUGCCAAGAGCUAAAGCUGACCCAAAACAUCUCCCAGGAAUUCACUGAGACCUUCCCUUAUUUACCCUGGUCUAAAUCAUCUGACCUUAGUCCUCAAGUUAUCAUCUAUUCCCUUCCCCCGACCCCCAACGCGGGUCUGCCUUGGUGGAGGAGAACAGAGCUCAGAGGAUACUGGGAACAAUUUUAAAUACUAAAUCUACCUCACAGGAAUGCCAGUGUCCAGCCAUCUUGGAGUUGCAUAAAAUUAAUACUUUUAUAUUCAAGGGAUACUUACAACUAUGACAGACCCUGUUGUCUGUUCUUUCAAUUAAAGCAAAUAGCAUGAAUAUAACUAGACAUGAGAGUUCUAUAGAUGUACAACAGAUUUUUUUUUUUUUAUUGAAUGGUGUUUUUUUUUCUUUNNNNNNNNNNCCACCUUCCCAUAAUCAAGGUCUUAUUUUAUUCAGACUCCACACAGCUUUCUCUUCAGAAUGCCAAGUAAGAGUGAAAAGGGACCAAUAUUUGAAUUCCUGAUUGCAAACUCUAAGUGGGUGACCAUGAGCAAGUUACCUAACCUAAAUGAACCCACUUCCUAAACCAAAAAGGACAAGGAGCAGGUAAUAAAACUUCCUUUACUUGGUGGUUGUGAGAACAAAAUAGCAUUUGCUAUCUAACAUUCCCAGCAAAAUGCUGGCAUGGAUAGAUGUUCCCUAAAUCUUAAUCCCCUUUCUUUCCCUCUGUGCUUUCUCUACUAUUCUUAUGAAAUGAUAAUCAUAAAGCUUUCAUAAACAUGCUACUCUCCAAACUCCUCUAUUUGCUCAUUUGGGGUCAGUGUAUCAUUUUUCUAUGCUCCUACCAUUUAAAAAAACCAAAAACAAAACAGAGUCUCUGAAAGCCCAUAUGAAACAGUUUAUUUUCUAGUUUCCUGGUUGGUCAAUGGCUUGCGGCCACAAUGAUCCAGUGGGUAGUCAUCAAAACUAAAGAAAGUGAACUUCUGUGGAAAACAUUUUGGAAUACAGUUUCCACCAUUCCAAUUUAGCCUAGGACUGCCUAUUCAUAUUCACCAUUUCCUGUUGUAUUUCAGUGUUCUUUGUGGUGGAAAACUGUCACUGAAAUAGAGCAAGUGUUCCGGACUAUGUGCCUGUGCGUCUACUAAAAGGUUUUCAAAGCAACAUGGUGGCAAGGAGGAAAUGUGAAGUGUCUGCAUCGGAGCAAAAGGUUGUACUGUUGACUGGAAUUUAUAGAGGGAAGCUUGGGUUUCUAGGGCUCAGCUCUGAGGAAAAUGCACUGGAUGUGUGUGCAUAGGGGAGGUACCACCAGGACCCAAGAACACAGCAUGGGGCCUUCCCCCACCUCCCAAUCCCCUCACCGCUGUCUAUAAGCUGGAACCUUUCAGAAGACAGGGCUUUGGGCCCCAGAAUUCGGUAAGUAUGCCUGAAUCCUGAAACGUCAUAGCAAGUCUCAGGGCUUUCCAUGAGCACCCAGACCUCAGAAACAAAGCAGAGUCACAGUGAAGCAUUCUCUCUUUCCCUCCCCUGGUACAGCAUGUGCUUAGGCCUUAUUCAUGUUUGUGUUAGCUGCUUAUCCUCUUCUGGUUUUUCAUACAAUCAUGGCUUUAUUUUAUAUGACAUCCCAAACCCUGCCUCAAAAUAACACCACGACUUCUGAAGUGGACGGCUGAUGAGGACAAAGGAGGUUUUCAGAGGGCAUUCAGAGUGACAUGUAGAAAGCCACAGCAGGCCGCCUCCAACAAGAGGGGCAACUGAGAAGGCGCUAUCACCAACAGAGGCAAAAUUGUGUGCACAGUUGAAUUUAGCCAGUGAUGUCCCAGGAAAAAGCAAAAGCCAGAAGGUCCACUGGAGGCCUUUUGCAAACAAGAAAUUAGAACUUACCCCAGAAACAGCAGAGAAGCUUGUGGGUAAGUGAUAGGAUUGUUUCAUCUUUCCACGUAGAAGCUCCAAGCUUGAAAACAUGGAGACCCUCUGCAGCAGGGAAUAUAGUACAGAUGGUGGAGUUGGUGCCUAAGAACCACCAGUGAGUUUGUUAAGAUGCAACUUUCUAGACCCACCUAAGAGAGUCUGAUUUAGGGAUGAUGGGGUCUGGAAUCUGCAUUUCUUAAAAACAACAUCCUAGCUGAUUCUGGUCUAUACAGACUAUACUUUAAGAAAUACUGUUUCUCAUAGCUCCACCCAUUUCUCUAAAUCAUAUAUUGAUGUGCCUGUUUGUGUCAAUAGCACUUUUAAACUUGUUACUUUGGAAAAUUUUCCUGUUUGAUGAAAAGUUGCUCAGAAAGGCAAUUUUCUCUUAUCAAAUUCUAAUUAUUUGGUCCUUUUGCCCUAAAUUUUAUGCUAAUUUUUAUUGACCAUUUACCAGGUGCUUAAAAUGUGGGCGAAGAGCUCAGAUAAACUGUCUGCUGACAGAUUCAUAUCACAGCUCUGGCUGUAAAGACCCUCACAAUGAAGUAGAUGUUUUCCAGAGCCCCCUCCACCCCCAGACUUCUCUAGCUAACCCUGCAGGCUUCCCGGAGUUUCAUCUGGCCACGGAAAUGUGAUUCAUUGCCAGUACAGAGGGCUACCUGUUACCUGACUGUCUUUACAAGAUGGCUCUGGAGUGGGUAGGUGUAUGUAUAUUCCUUUCUAGUGUCUACCCAUUUGAGAGGCUGGGCUGGAGAAGGGUAUUGAGCUGACAAGCACUGGAAGCCUUAGUAUUGAGGCUUAUUAGUGAAUCUUUGGACAGAAUGGAAAGCCUGUUUAUUAGCUGUGUGACCCGUGAUAGUCUUUGGUUCCAUCAUGAGGAAUGAUCUUUAAAAAGCAUCUAGAAAAUGAACAUUCAGACAUCAUAUGACCCAACAGUUCCACUCCUAAGACAUAUAAACAAUGCAUAUGUAUAUUCAUCAAAAGAUGGAUUCAAGAGGGACUUCCCUCACAGUCCAGUGGUGAAGGCCCCUUGCUCCCAGUGCAGGCGGCAUGGGUUCCAUCCCUGGUCAAGGAGCUAGAUCGAUCCCACAAGCUGCACAGCAUGGCCCCUUCCCCCAAAAAAGAAAAGAUGGAUUCAAGAAUCUCCAUAGAAGCAGAUAUUUAUAGUAACCAAAACUAGAAAAAACCCACCUGACUGUCAACAGCGUAGUGACACAAAUAUAUGUUAUACUGCAAGGAGAAUGAAGAAGCACGUGGUGGGGAGAUCCCUGGCAGUCCAGUAGUUAGGAUUCUAGGCUUUCACUGUGUGCGGGGGUCUGGCUUCAANNNNNNNNNNNNNNNNNNNNNNNNNNNNNNNNNNNNNNNNNNNNNNNNNNNNNNNNNNNNNNNNNNNNNNNNNNNNNNNNNNNNNNNNNNNNNNNNNNNUUCAAUCACUAGUAUGGGACACUGAGAUCCUGCAAGCUGCCCAGCGUGGCCAAAAAAAAAAAAAAGAUGCAACAUGGUGAAUGAAUUUCACAUAGUGUUGAGUGAAAAAAGCCAGAUAGGAAGGAAUGUCUCCAGCUGAUUUCAUUUGUAUAAAGUUCAAAGACAGACAAAACUGAUGUACUGAGGUAAAAGUGGAAUAGUGUUACCUUUGUGGGGGUUUCUGGGGUAAUGGUAUUGUUUCUUAAUAGGGGGGCUAGUUCUUUGUAAAACUUCAUCAAGCAAUACCUUUCUGCUCUGUGAGCCCUUAUGUGAUAACUUCAGUAAAAGGCUUACCUACAUAAAGCAUCUAGUCUAUGCCCCUCACUCCCUAAGUGUGGAAGCUGAGGCUCAGCGGUGUUAAAUAACCUGCAUGAGGUUGACCAGUUAGUUCUAACUGCUCGCGCCCCCUCCUGAUGUGGUACAUUCCGAUGUGGUGUGGGUCAGCAGAAUGCUACUUCAGGCAAAGCCAAAAGGCAAAGGAAGGAGGAAGUAAGCAAGGAGAGAAAGAACUGUGAGCAGCUGUGAGUUGGCUGCCUGUCCUUUGCCCCUCAUGACUGCUUGUGUCCCUGUCUUCCUCUCCCUUCAAAUGCAGCCUUGUGAGGCCCUGAUGCCUGGAGCUGCUACUGCCAUCUUGUGGCCACCAGCGAGGCGUUCCCAAUUCCCCGAGGCUCACUGAGUACAUAAAUGUAGUGUGUCUUUGAUGGCAUCAUUGAGCCACUGCACUUAACUCUGGCCUUCUUAAAUGGAAAAUGCACAUCCCAGGACUUCCCUGGUGAUCCAGUGGCUAAGACCCUGCACUCCCAAUGCAGGGGGACCGCGUUCAAUCUCGGGUCAGGGAACUAGAUCCCACAUGCUGCAACUAAGUUUGAAUGCUGCAACUAAAGAUUCUGCAUGCCUUGUCAAAAGAUCGAAGAUCUUGUGAGCUGCAACCAAGUUAAGACCCAGCGCAGCCAAAUAAAUAAAUAUUUUUAAACACACACACACACACAUCCCUAAAGUCUCAGGCUGUUUAAUGGGGAUCCCUGUAACGUGCAGCUGAACUCAUCCUUAGGGAUUCAGAAGAUGAGGAAUACAAGCAGGCAGG